AUUGAAAUAUCAUCUUAACCCUUGAGUAUACUAAACUGUAUUCAGUAGGUAGCAUAUACUAUUUGGGUAAUAUCAAAUGCAAUUGUGUGUGUGUGUGUGUAUUCAGAUUUGGGUCUCACACAUGGCAGUACAACACACUAUUCAAGGGAGUUCUUUCACUAGCUGACCAAGACAUUAUCAUCAUUUGUUUUCACAAAGUAAAUGCCAAAUUGUUGACAGAUUACUAAUUUCCAAAUUAAUAAACUUCUUCUCAGCCUUUUUAAACCCAGUGACUAUCAAGUUUGUGGAAUCCAUACUUGGAGCAAAAGUAUGCUUGACCUAGAAGACUUAUUUAUGAAUCCCUUUCUUCUCUUUUGUUCCAGGUCAAAUGAUAGUUUUAAUUGAAAAUUCUAUUUCACUCAACAUCCUUGACUUGAUGGUAGAAGGAAAGCAUGAAACCAACCCACUCAAGUUAGAAAACAUCUUAGAGGACAAAUAUAGAUUGAUGACAUUGUCAUUGGCUCCAACAAUACCAUCCUGCCAUCAAAUUAGGAAGGAGAAAGUUUCAUGAGUGGUGAAGACAAAAAUGUACUUCUACAUCCAACAAAUUGACAAAAAUCAUCGAGAGUGAGAAACUGAGAGGGGAAAACAAAGAGACUGAGAGGGACAGCACAGUGCUGGUCCAGAACUCAUGAACCUUCCCAUAUAAACACCACCCACCCCAAGGUGAACUCUAUAAAGAAGAGUCUCCCUCAUUCUUCUUCUGUUAAGUGUUCUGUUAGAACACUGAUGAUGCAGUGUUCAGGAAAACAUUCUGCUGCAUAGAAAAGUACUUGGAAGGCUCAAGAAAGGAGAUUGUGAACUCAAGAGUUGGUGAACACUUUCCUCCCUGAAUAGCAGGAAUUGGUAGUCAGUGGAACAAACACACAGCUUCCUAGCUGCCCUGCAACCUGAUGUUCCAGUGCGUUUUAGGGAAAAGGUAUAAGGCACUUUCUUAUUGAAAGCAUUUUUAAAGGCAUGAAAUAUAAUCUCUGCAUUAACUUCAAAGAAACGGAAUCUUAAUACUGAUAAGAGGCCUGAGCUCCAGCUGUCAAGUGGCCCUUUGAAGACCUUCAAUUGUAUUCCAUGUACUGCAACUACCACUCUUGGACUCAGAGAAGCAUGAAAAGGGACAGAGAUGAUUUCUGACCAAAAUUAUAUAUAAGAACUAUGAGAAGAGUUAAGGUGUUCUUGAGGAUAAUAAGUUGCUGUUUGUGGUUAGCAAAACAUAAAUGUAAAAGGACACAAAGAGAGAAAAGAAGGAAGAGAAAAACAUAGUAUCAGACAUGUUUCUUUUUUUUUACUGCAUUUCUCUUUCUCUUACCCUAGACUACCUAUUUUCUUUUAAGAGUCCUGAAUCAUUAUCAAGCAUUAAAAACUGCUUUAUAGAUCUUAUUAGAGAAAGAUUGCUUUCCAAUCCCUGUAAUGCUUAAGCAAAAAAAAAAAAGAAGAAGAAGAAGAAGAAGAAGAAGAAGAAGAAGAAGAAGAAGAAGAAGAAGAAGAAGAAGAAGAAGAAGAAGAAGAAGAAGAAGAAGAAGAAGAAAAAAAAAAAACAUAUUGGGAGUCGGGCUGUAGCGCAGCGGGUUAAGCACAGGUGGCGCAAAGCACAAGGACCGACAUAAGGAUCCCGGUUCGA